rnacentral:rRNA from 1 species
CUGGGCGCUGGCUUGUUUGGCUACAUAGAUCAAACCAUAGAGGAGCCUCCCAAAACAAUCACUAGCAAAGACAAAGAUGGUAAGGAGCAGGUAGUUCCCAAUCCUGCCCAUAAUCCCUGGUUAGUUCAAGAUCAGCAAAUCGUGGCAUAUCUCCUUCAUAAUCUGUCCAAGGAGGUGCUGGUUCAAGUGGCUUCGCUUGAAUCAUCUCAUGCGAUCUGGACGGCAUUAGCAAAUAUGUUCUCUGCAGUUUCCUUGUCUCGCGUGAACAACAUCAGAUCUGCCCUCACCAACACCCAAAAAGGAUCUCAAUCCGCCUCCACCUACUUCGGGCAGAUG